rnacentral:rRNA from 1 species
UACGAAGGGGGCUAGCGUUGCUCGGAAUCACUGGGCGUAGAGCGCACGUAGGCGGAUCUUUAAGUCAGGGGUGAAAUCCUGGAGCUCAACUCCAGAACUGCCUUUGAUACUGGGGAUCUCGAGUCCGGAAGAGGUGAGUGGAACUCCGGGUGUAGAGGUGAAAUUCGUAGAUAUUCGGAAGAACACCAGUGCGAAGGGCGGCUCUCUGGGACGGUACUGACGCUGAGACGCGAAAGCGUGGGGAGCGAACGAGG